UACAGAGGUCUCAAGCGUUGUUCGGAUUCAUUGGGCGUAAAGGGUGCGUAGGCGGCGCGGUAAGUCGGGUGUGAAAUCUCGGAGCUUAACUCCGAAACUGCAUUCGAUACUGCCGUGCUCGAGGACUGGAGAGGAGACUGGAAUUUACGGUGUAGCGGUGAAAUGCGUAGAUAUCAUUUGGAACGCCAAUGGUGAAAACAGGUAGCUGGGGCUGUGCUGACACUGAGACACGAAAGCCAGGGGAGCAAACGGG
rnacentral:rRNA from 1 species